rnacentral:rRNA from 1 species
GAUGAACGCUGGCGGCGUGCCUAAUACAUGCAAGUCGAGCGAACAGACGAGGAGCUUGCUCCUCUGACGUUAGCGGCGGACGGGUGAGUAACACGUGGAUAACCUACCUAUAAGACUGGGAUAACUUCGGGAAACCGGAGCUAAUACCGGAUAAUAUAUUGAACCGCAUGGUUCAAUAGUGAAAGACGGUUUUGCUGUCACUUAUAGAUGGAUCCGCGCCGCAUUAGCUAGUUGGUAAGGUAACGGCUUACCAAGGCAACGAUGCGUAGCCGACCUGAGAGGGUGAUCGCCCACACUGGAACUGAGACACGGUCCAGACUCCUACGGGAGGCAGCAGUCGGCAAUCUUCCGCAAUGGGCGAAAGCCUGACGGAGCAACGCCGCGUGAGUGAUGAAGGUCUUCGGAUCGUAAAACUCUGUUAUUAGGGAAGAACAAAUGUGUAAGUAACUAUGCACGUCUUGACGGUACCUAAUCAGAAAGCCACGGCUAACUACGUG